rnacentral:lncRNA from 1 species
CUUUCUUAGUUUUAAGUAUCAAUUGGGUAGCAGUAAUAAACUAUUCCAAAGCUUCUUGGCAAAACUACUUUUCAAUCACAGGCUUGUUUUUAUUUAUAAGUUUAUGAAGAAAUAUGAUUCAAAAAAUGUAUUUAACAGGAAAGGCUUAAAUAUUCUAGGCUAAAACUGCCAUAAGAAAAAACAAUGAGGGAUCCCUGGGUGGCACAGCGGUUUGGCGGCUGCCUUUGGCCCAGGGCGCGAUCCUGGAGACCCGGGAUCGAGUCCCACGUCGGGCUCCCGGUGCAUGGAGCUUGCUUCUCCCUCUGCCUAUGUCUCUGCCUCUCUCUCUCUCUCUCUCUCUCUCUGUGACUAUCAUAAAUAAAUAAAAAUUAAAAAAAAAAGAAAAAACAAUGAAAUGUUAUUUCUGUAAUUAUAGGAAUUAGUCCAGGAAAGUGUGUAGCAUUUGUACACUAAUGCAUUUAUUCAUUUCUCCAAGAUAAUUUCUGAGACACUCAGAAAGAAAAAAAUUAAAAACAUGCUUUCUGAGAUAAUGAGUAUAAAGGGAUGCAAUAAUAUUGCCAUUCUUGUGGAAAAAAAUAUUUCAAAGUAGUAGCCUUAAACAAGACCAUUAGGGAGAGUUAGUAUUGAAAAAUAAAUCACAGUGUAAAAAAAAUAUAUAUCAUAUAUAUGUGUUAAUGUAUGUGUUAAUAUAUGUAACAUAUAUAUUAAGUUUAUAAUGUGGUUCCAUAGGAUUUUCUGAUGUUAGGCAAGUAACUUCAACAUUUUGUGCCUUUAGUUUCGCACUUAUAAAAUGGAGAUCAUAGUACUUCCAUUAUAAAGUUUGUGGAGAUUAAAUUGUAUAAUGUAUGGAAAGUGAGCAAAAGAAGGAUGAUACAUAGUAAGUACAACAGUUAGCAAUUGCUUUUACUGAGUUCCCUAAAAUAAUAAAACUCUGAUUAUAGUUCCCAAUAAUUUUUCUCUUAAUUGCAAUAACUUUUAAUUCUACCUCCUUUUUUUGUCUCAUGUAAAAUGACAUAUAGUAACCAUUGACAAACUCUUUAAUAUAUCUUUAGAUAUCAAUGCUGUAAAGAAAUAAUUUUGUGUAGUACCAACAUGUAAUCAUUCUAAUAACAGCUAGGUAGGGAAUCCUUGGAUAAGAAAUCUAGAAUAUUCAUUUACUUAUCUAUAUCCUUCAUUUGAUUGUUAAUUCAUUCCUGCUAGUUAGUUACUAAGCAUUUACUCUGUGAAGAAGUUGGAUAUACAGCAGGAAACAUCCCAAUGAAAGUCAUUGUCUUCUUAUAGCUACUAUAUAGAUUACAGUAGGAAAAACUGGAUGAAUAGUAUGGCAAGUAAGUGCCCUGGAGGCAAAAAAAGAUAGAUUAAGUAGGAUAAAAAGAAGCAGAGAUGGGUGGUAGGCAAAAGAGCAUUGUGAUAAGAUUACAUUUGAGCAGGGAUUUGAAGGUCCCAAGGGGAAGCCACAGGCUAUAACACGGGGAAAGUAUUCAGAGCCGAGAAAGCAACUUCGAAAGACCUCAGGCCUGAGAUUGGUUAGCAGAUUCCAGGGAGAGCAAGGAAGCUGGAUUCUUUGAACAAGGGAGAAGGAGGUAGAGGACCAGGUGAGAGAAGAGGUGAGAUCAUCAGUAAACUUGAAAGACUUUACAAGAAUUUGUCUUUCAUUCUGAGUAAGAUUAAGGAGCCAUUCAGGGGUUCUCGGCAGAGAUAAAGCAGAAUUAGAAUACAGUUGCUUAGAUUUUUGCUUUCAAUAUGGUUAUCAAGAGACAAAGGAAAACAAAUUCCAGAACUCUCUGAAAUAUUAAUGGCUAUUAGUCAAGGUAAGAUUCUGUACCAAAUUCCCCCAGGCUUCCUAACCAGUUUUAUACUGUCCCAGAGUCUUCAUAGGACAGAGAAAACAUAAGCAAGUGGAUGGUGGAAAAGCAAAGAGGAAAUGUUUUGAAUUUCAUGAGUACAAGAAGAUGGGUAAAGAAGAGAAGCAAGAGAGGAUCUAAUUCCUGUAGGUAUCAUUACAGGUUCCCAAACCAUCACAGCUGCCUUUAAAGAGUUACUCAAGCAGGGUCAGUGCUAGCUACAUCCUGGUAGGCUAACAUAAUAAGAUGUUCUUUAUUGUCAGAUGUACAAUUAAGUGAAGGGUUACUUUAAGGGCAAAUAAGAUAUUACAUUAAAUAACUAAUUGAUUUUUAAAUCCAUCCAAUUUUCAGAAAUGUUAAAAUGUUAUUGAUACAAAAAGAAAUUUCAUCUUUAAAAUGACAGUAAUAUGAUUACUGAAAAUUUUAAAAUUGAAAAAAUUAUUUGGUUAAUAUGUAAAACAUGAGAUCCAAUAGGUGAGACUAUUUCUGCCAUAAAAUUACCUUCAGUUAGAAACCACUAAUUAUGUAUGCACAUGCCAAAAUAUGACAGCUUCAGCAAGUGAUGAAUUUGCAUAUACAAUAAUUUUAAUCAAAGGUACUUAUUUGAUUGUGUAAUUAUCUCAUUUGCAUACACAAAAUUUGAAUUUUGUACAUGUGAAUCCUCGUUUGUACAUGUACCCAAUUAUUUUGUUGGUACAACUUAGAAAUCCCUAUUUGAUAUAAUAGAGCAUUAGUUCUCUUUCAUUUUCUCUUCCUGCAAUAGAGAUUCAGUUUUUAUUGACUAUUAAAAUAGGACUCCCUGAAAUAACAUGAGAAAUGGAUCCUGCUUCCCAUCACAACGAAAGGAACUACACUUCCAUUUUGUGCUAAGAGAAAAGCAAAAACAAACAAACAAACAAGCUUUCUCACACACACUUUUGUUCUUUCCUGACUUUUAUUUAGAAGUUAUUUCAAAAUUUAAAGAAGACUGGCUCACAGGGAGAAGUCUUGAAUGGUGAUCAUAUUGAGUUCCCUCAAUUUUCCAUAUUGUUGGUCCCUAAGUGAUGGGAGUAAGCUAUUGAUCUCUAUUAUUCUUAAGCAAUAGAGAAAAUUUAGAGCGGGUAAAAUGUAUCAAAUUUAUAGUCCUAGAGACAGGUGUUCUUUAUGGAGCUCCUAGAGAAAAAUAAUCAUAAUCAUAAUCAUAAUAAAAAGAAGAGCCUGAAAAGCAGUGAGGCAAAACUCUACUAUCACGGUCUUGUCAGACAAUCAAGAUUCUCCUUGGCCUAAGUGAGAGUGGUAUGGUACAGACUGGGAAAACUGAUAACCACAAAGAUAAAUUUCUGUAUAAGCAUGGUAUUUGCUUUCUAACUCAGUUUGAAAGGGCCAUUGAGACAAAAGGCUGUUCAAAAUCCAAAGAUAUUCAAACACUCGAAAAGGUAUCUCUACAUUUUAGUCGGUUCAUUGAUAAUAGCAGGAGCCUUCUGUUUUUUAAAUCUUUCAUACCCUUUCUGCAUGCUUUUGGGAUCAAUCUUGAAGAUUCAAUGGAAAUCCAAUUUGGUAAUCUAAUUGGAUUAUAUUAGAUGCAGUAUUAUUGCUGACCCUCUUGUGGUUCAUUUGCAUGCAGAUGCACUUAUGAAAAUGUAGUCUUACAUUAGGGCAAGAGUAGAAAUCCAAUGUGUCAAUACUCACAAUUUUGUCAACUAUGUUUUGUCUGUAUUUGACUAUAGAGAGAUCCUUUCAAAACCUCUGAAUUCCUGAACUUUGAACCUUAACAUCCACCUCAAUAUUGAAUCUUCUAUAAUAAAUGUCCUCUUGAAUCGUCUAUAAUAAAUAUCCUCUUGAAUUCUUCAAUGUGCUCACUGUUGUUGGAAUAAGGCCUAGUCAAGUCUGCUUAUGAUGUCUCUUAAACAAUACUGUUUGGUCUGCUUUCUUCCAGUGUUUAUAUUUAAUAUACCCAGGGAAAGAAUAUACUAUAAUAAUUAAAAGCACAAUGGCUCUUGAAGUUAGCCAUAUUUGGUAUGGGAUCCUGAAUCAUAUCUCUUGGUAUUCUUGUCCUUGUUUGAUUCCUCCUACAUUGAGUGUGGGCUUGACCAUAUGACUUAUUUUGACCAAAGGGACUUUAACAAGUAUGUUGCAAGCUGAGGCACUUGCAAUGGGGCUUGUCCCUUGGAACACUUUUUGGAAAUAAGCUGCAUGGAUGUGCAAGUUUAAGUUAUUAUGCUAGAAAGAAAGAUUAUGUGGAGGACCUGUGAAGGGUGACUUAUCAUAUAGAAAGAGAGGCCACAUUGAGAACUGAGACCUUCUUUAAGCCCCUAGUUGAAUGUAGUCACAUAAAUGACCCCAGUCAACAUCAGGUAGAGCAGAGUAACUGCUCAGUAAACUCACAGAUUCAUGAGAAAUGUCAAAUGGUUAUUUUACAUCAAUGAGAUUUAGGGAGGUUUUUAUACAAUAACAGAUAAUUGAUACAUGGUUAGUUAAUGUGAUUUGGGUGACAUGUUUAAACUUUCUAAUCCUUUUUUUUCAGCUGUACAUUAUGAACAAUAAUUGUAUUACUUCAUAGAAUUAUGAAAUGGAUUAAGUGAAAUAACAAAUAUAAAAAUUUAGCAUAACACCUGAUCUAUAUAGUAAGUACAUAAUGAAUGGUAGUUUUUACAAUCAAUUUCAUCAUCUCAACUGUUGCCACCAUUAUACUAAUCAUCACCACUAAUGCCAACACCAACAUCACUAACAUCGCCCCCAACACCUUCCUGAUAACCUGUGCUUUCCUGAUGCUCUUUCUGUCUAUUGCCAGGACCAAAUAAAUCUUUUUCAACUAAGACAUUUUUUAAACCAAACAUUUUUUAUUAUAGUCAAUAAUUAUGUAAGUAAUGAAAAUAAUUCAUUUAGAUAUUCCUUCAUAUUAUUUCAUUGGAUUACUUAAAAUGGUAAAGAGAUUUACUAAGGUCACUCUGAAAGCAAAUGGAAUGAUCAUAUUUGAAGCUCAUGUCUUCUUGCUAUGAAUUCUAAGCUCUUUUAAAAAAUUCUGGCUGCUCUAAAAAUAAGAGCCUGUGUUUCCCUUAAGAAAGUAGUCUCCAUAAACGUAUACAUUUUUUGUGCUUGCUGCUCCAUUCUUAGCACUCAGUGUAUAGAAGCUGUUCCAGAAACAUUUGUUGAAUAUGUGGACAAUUGACAGUUGGUAAUUUAGUAGAGUGUGGGCUCAAGAGCCAAAGAGUCUGAAUUUGAAUCCCAGUUCUACCUCUUACCAGCUAUAUGACUUUAGGCAAUUUAACAUUUCUGUUUCCCAAUUUCCUUAUAUGUAAUGAAGAUAGAAAUAGUAUAUAUUAUUUAGGAUUGUUUUAGAGAAUAUAAAACACUCAGAACAGUGCCUGACAAAACAGUAAGCACCACCAAAAAAAAAAAAAAAAAAAAAAAAAAAAAACAGUAAGCACCAUAUAACUUUAGUAUUAUUAUUUUGCUGUUACAUUGGUCUCUAUUGAUAUAUGGAAUAAUAUAUACAUAAAAUGUUAUUUUAAAGAAGAAUAUAUAUGAAUAUUAAAAGAGGGUUAGGAAAAAGGUAGUGUGUUAUCUAAAACAAUGGCUUCUAAGCUCCAUUCUUUUUAAAAAUUUUUAUAUGAAUGUAGCUGACACAUAAGUUUACAUUAUUUUUAGGUAUAGAACAUAGUGAUUCAAUUAAUUUAUAGUUAUGCUAUGCUCACAAGUGUAGCUACCAUUGUCAUCAUACAAUGCUAUUACAUAUGAUUGACUAAAUCCCCUAUGCUGUGCCUUUUAUUUCCAUGACUUAUUCAUUUCAUAACUGCACACCAGUAUCUCCCAUUCCCUUUUACCCAUUUUGCCCACCCCCUACCUCCCUUUCCUCUGGCAGUCAUCAAUUUGUUCUCUGUAUUCAUAGGUCUGGUUCUGUUUUUGUUUGUUUAUUUAUUUGUUUUGUCUUUUAUAUUCCACAUAGGAGUAAAAUC